UAUACAUGACUGUUUUUUUUUUUUUUUUUUAACAAACCAUCUUCUAGAUCGUUCCCUUCGUCCCUCUUUCCUCUCACUUCCAGAUUAAAAGAGAACCAAAACUCAAAAAUUUCUACUAAGAGGAAUAGGCAAAGUACUUGGCAUCUUCCUCAAACCUCUUCUUAUCCAAACAAAAAAAGCUAUAGGAUUCGAGGGAAAACAAGUCCUCUUCUCAAUAAAAUGGUCUAAUCAUUCUUCUCACUUUAAUUUUUGAUUUGUUGGAGUAUGCAUAUGUGGGUUUUUUGUUGAAAGAUUACUAACGUUCACCAUAUGUUUGAAAAAAUGUCUGCUAGAAAAUCAUACUUUGUUAGCACUGGUAAAUUAUUUAGCUGAAUGUAGUCUUGAAAUCUUUAAUGAUCAAUCUGCUAUUGCAUUAUCAGAGGGAGUUUCAGGGCUGAAAUUCGCAUGGAAUUUUCAAGGUAGCAAUUGUUCGUUUUGCUUAUUUUGGUGGAGAAGGGGUCUCGAGGAAUAAGGGAUACAACAAUGCCAGCUUGGAAGUGGUUUGAACUUUGAAGUGGAUCCAUGGGCACAUCCAAAUUUUAUCCUAAAAGCUUACAAUCGAUCAAAUGAAGAUGUUUGACCAGCUUUCUUCAGUCAAGACGGUCAAGUUUCUAAAAUUCAGAAGAAAAAUAAGUAGUAAAGAAAUUCAACAGUUGAUAAUUAAAUGGGGAUUCUUUUUUCUUUAUAGAGUCUGAGAAUAAUGAACUUACGAACAUUCCAUACUUGGAUAAUGAAUAUAUUGGGAUUUAGUCCUUUAUUGUCA